UCUGUUCCCUGCACCCCAGUAAAUACAGAGAAAUUCUGUUCCUUAAAAAGAAAUGUUAGAGCUUUAGACUUUUCCCAGCCAGAAACCUACCUAGUUUCCUCAAGGUUGCUUGUUAGCUAUAUCCCAUCCUGCCUCUUUUCCCCUUUGUGGCCUCCGGUUGCAUUUCGGGGGGCUUUAGAUAAUGCUGCUCGUGUCAGCAAGCUUCCCUGUCUCCAGCCGCACCCCAUCUCCCUUUAUGGAAUUGUAGUCGAAAACCAAACGCGCACACACACAAAUUCUCGUUAAAAUUUUCUGCUAUUCUUCCUGACUGGAAGAGUUGACAAGACGGAGACAUUAAGUUGCAUAAAAUACAGUGGACUGAUCAGCCAGAAUGCAUCUCAUUUGCACUUGUACGAAGUCGGGGUAUGAGCUGGUGUCACUCACGGCCUCCAGUCCUCUUUGCCGUGCUGCACUGCCUGGCUGGAAUUUUCUAGCAGGCCCCACUGUGGAGGCCAUUUGUGAGGUUGGAGCCUUCCCCCCCAGCCCAGGCCAUUCAAGGUGAGGGGGGGGUGGAAUUGGGGAGGGCAGAGGCCUCUGGAGGCCUGGCCCGAGGGCUUGGGCCAGCUUGGGGAGACCUUCCUCUCUGGGACGCUCAGACAGCUGGAUGCCCCAGGUCUGCAGUGAUUCCAAGGGGAUCCCUCUGGCUUGAAUGAAAGGGGACACCAUGAAGGAGAGGGAUGGUCACUGAGCACAUUUUCUACCCACUUCUACCCAUCUCCCUAAGUUUUGUUCUCAUUCCCUGCUUUGUCCCCAGUGGAGGGGUCCCUGGGCCUGAUAGUUUCCUUCACCUCCUCCUCCUCCUGACCUCAGACAGAGCCUGAGGGCUUCUCUCUUUUCUCCUGUCUCCCUGAGCUCCACUCCUGGGCUCCAGAGUUCCAGAAAAAAAUGCCUUUCUCAUCAGCUCCCAGAGGCACCUGGCAUCUGCUCAGAGAGCCUCAGGAUCCCAGCGGGGGUACUAGAGGAAGUUUGGAGUCUUUAUGCUGUUCCCCCUCACCACUCACAAUCACCUUCCAGCUUUGGUGUCCACUUUUCCUGCCCCAGAUGCUGAGGCUUCAGAUUCCUAUCUACCAAUUCGUACCCAGCACUUGGGUGCUGGGUAACUGCCAGGGUAUAUUGGAGGCUGGAGUCCUGGAGGCCUUAGUGGUAGAAGGUCCAGAGGAAAUGGGGUCUUCUGGGAGUCUCAGUGGGGGUGGUGGGAGGGCCUGAGUGCCCCAGCUUAGCCUCCUUUGAGCACCCCCAAAAGCGUGUCCCGGGUGCUUCUUUUCCACCGUGUUCUGCCUGCUUUCCUUGCAAAGGUCAUGGGACUCGGACUUCCGCCAAUCCUAGGAGCUCCCCUUUUCUUCAGUGCUUUUCUUGCCCAGCAGGGAGGCUUCUGGACUGCUUCUGGGCCUCCACUGCCAGUCCCGGACUUCGGCCUGUGACCUUCCCGGAGGGGUGGGGAGCCAAGGGCCAGGGAUGUUGCCCAACAAGACCACCGCCUCACAGGGCCUGGACCACAGACGAGGGCCUUCGGACCCAGGCGCAGCCAGCCACCCACCCGUGCCCGCGGUGGCCUGCAGCAGCGCAGGGGCCAGGGCUGUGGAGCUGGGCAGCCAGCCCUGCACCAUUGACAGCCGGGGCACGUCUGCAGCGCCCCAGGGAACAAUCAAUGGACUCUGUGUCCCGGGAGCUGGGGACACGCCUGUAAGGCCUUUCUGCCUGCACAGUCACUGGGAGAAAAAUCAAGUUGUGCAGCGUUCUGGCCGACUAAAUGGGCUUGCCUUCUGCGGAGAGGCAGUCCUGGAGGACAUAACUCAGGAGCCAUCUCCCAGGAAACUCUUCAUCAGAACAUCCCUUGUCCUUCUGUAUUUGUUUUUUUGCUUUUGUAUUAAAAAGCUGUUUUGGGGGCUGCCUGGGUGGCUCAGUGGGUUAACCCUUUGCCUUUGGCUUAGGUCAAGAUCUCAGGGUCCUGGGAUCGAACCCCGCAUCUGCUCAGCAGGGAAUCUGCUUCCCUCACUCUCUACCUGCCCCUCUGCCUACUUGUGAUCUCUAUCAAAUAAAUAAAA